rnacentral:rRNA from 1 species
CCUACGGGAGGCAGCAGUAGGGAAUCUUUCACAAUGGGCGAAAGCCUGAUGGAGCAACGCCGCGUGCAGGAUGAAUGCCUUCGGGUUGUAAACUGCUUUUAUAAGCGAGAAAUAUGAUGGUAACUUAUGAAUAAGGAUCGGCUAACUACGUGCCAGCAGCCGCGGUCAUACGUAGGAUCCGAGCAUUAUCCGGAGUGACUGGGUGUAAAGAGUUGCGUAGGUGGCAUAAUAAGUAGCUAGUGAAAUCUGGUGGCUCAACCAUUCAGACUAUUAGCUAAACUGUUAAGCUCGAGACCGUUAGGGGUAACUGGAAGUUCUAGUGUAGGAGUGAAAUCCGUAGAUAUUAGAAGGAACACCAAUAGCGUAGGCAGGUUGCUGGGACGGUUCUGACACUAAGGCACGAAAGCGUAGGGAGCAAACGGGAUUAGAUACCCUAGUAGUC